GGCCAGACUCCUACGGGAGGCAGCAGUGGGGAAUAUUGCACAAUGGGGGGAACCCUGAUGCAGCGACGCCGCGUGGGUGAAGGAGUACUUCGGUACGUAAAGCCCUAUCAGCAGGAAAGAAAAUGACGGUACCUGACUAAGAAGCCCCGGCUAACUACGUGCCAGCAGCCGCGGUAAUACGUAGGGGGCAAGCGUUAUCCGGAUUUACUGGGUGUAAAGGGAGCGUAGACGGCAGUGCAAGUCCGGAGUGAAAGCCCGGGGCUCAACCCUGGGACUGCUCUGGAAACUGUAAAGCUGGAGUGCUGGAGAGGUAAGCGGAAUUCCUGGUGUAGCGGUGAAAUGCGUAGAUAUCAGGAGGAACACCGGUGGCGAAGGCGGCUUACUGGACAGUGACUGACGUUGAGGCUCGAAAGCGUGGGGAGCGAACAGGAUUAGAUACCCCCGUAA
rnacentral:rRNA from 1 species